rnacentral:misc_RNA from 1 species
UACGGAGGGUGCUAGCGUUAAUCGGAUUUAUUGGGCGUAAAGGGCGCGUAGGCGGGAUGGUAAGUCAGACGUGAAAGACCGGAACUCAACUCCGGAACCGCGUUUGAAACUACUGUUCUUGAGGGUAGACGGAGAAAACGGAAUUCCGUGUGUAGCGGUGAAAUGCGUGGAUAUACGGAAGAACACCGGUGGCGAAGGCGGUUUUCUAGUUUACACCUGACGCUGAGGCGCGAAAGCUAGGGGAGCAAACAGG